rnacentral:misc_RNA from 1 species
AACGCACAUUGCGCCCGCCAGUAUUCUGGCGGGCAUGCCUGUUCGAGCGUCAUUUCAACCCUCAAGCCCCCGGGCUUGGUGUUGGGGAUCGGGCUGCCUAGGCAGUCCGCCCCCGAAAUCUAGUGGCGGUCUCGCUGCAGCUUCCACUGCGUAGUAGAAAUAUCUCGCAGCCGGGACGCGGCGCGGCCAUGCCGUUAAACACCCAACUUCUGAAUGUUGACCUCGGAUCAGGUAGGAAUACCCGCUGAACUUAA